AUUGAACGCUGGCGGCAGGCCUAACACAUGCAAGUCGAGCGCGAAAGGCCUUCGGGCUGAGUAGAGCGGCGGACGGGUGAGUAACGCGUAGGAAUCAACCUGGUAGUGGGGGACAACUUGGGGAAACUCAAGCUAAUACCGCAUACGCCCCAAGGGGGAAAGCGGGGGACCUUCGGGCCUCGCGCUAUCAGAUGAGCCUGCGUAGGAUUAGCUAGUUGGUAGGGUAAAGGCCUACCAAGGCGACGAUCCUUAGCUGGUCUGAGAGGAUGAUCAGCCACGCUGGGACAGAGCACCGGCCCAGACUCCUACGGGAGGCAGCAGUGGGGAAUAUUGCGCAAUGGGGGCAACCCUGACGCAGCCAUGCCGCGUGUGUGAAGAAGGCCUUCGGGUUGUAAAGCACUUUCAAUGGGGAAGAAAAGCGUAGCGUUAAUAGCGCUGCGCCGUGACGUUACCCAUAGAAGAAGCACCGGCUAACUCAGUGCCAGCAGCCGCCGUAACAC
rnacentral:rRNA from 1 species